GUCAGUAUUUCUUGACUAACUUUUGAACUUUAUGCAUUUCAGUGAGGUUUUCUGGAGCAUUGCUCUGAAGAGUCGCCUUGAACCAGAGGUGAGGACAACCGAAGGUGACGACUCAGCAUUUCCGUGUUGAUGCCGGACAAACUGAGUGGGGCGUCAAGAGGAAGAAUCAGCCACUUAAAUUGGAGGCUACCCAUGGACACAUACUCUAGCACCACGGUGGCACGCAAUAUGCAGCAAUCCUCCAACCGGUUGGCCAAACUCAAAGGUAAGGCCUCGUUUUUUAUAACAACCCCUUCCUUUGCUUCUCAGCCUUCACCCAUUGUCUUCCCCUGGAAACAAAACUGCAUUUCCAUUGCUGCUUUUUCUCACCUUUUUUUGCGACGGUAGCACCACCUGCAAAGGGAG
rnacentral:lncRNA from 1 species